GAGAGAGAGAGUAAGGUUGCUGUGCAAUUAGGAGCAUGGAGGCCUCCGUACUCCUAAAUCGUUUUCAAUGAUAGAAUUUUCAAAUUGAUGAUACAUUUCAUUAGACUUGAUCUAAUAUAUUUGAAGUGUCAAGAAAAUAAAUUAUAUAAUUUUUCGAUAUUAUUUACUAAGUGAUUGAAUCUGUUCAAAAUCAACAGCUAAAAAUAAAAAUCUCACAAAAAGUAAUGAUAUAGACUAAAAUUUUUUAUUAGAAAUAUUGAUCUUGUUAUAAAAUGUAUGAAAAUUUUUCUGUUAAAAUUUCAUCUAAUUCGAUUUUUUUACCCUAUCAACUUGGGAACGAAAAACAUUAACCAUUGAAAGUUACUUAUAUUGAACGUACUGUUUCGACCAAUAAGUAAUGAUAUUGAAAAAGUAUAAAUUUUAUUUUAUAAAUAUUUCAAAUACGUUAAAUCAAGUUUUACAGAGCCGAUCGUCAAUUAGAAAAUUUU
rnacentral:lncRNA from 1 species